UGCUCCGGUUGAUCAACAU
rnacentral:siRNA from 1 species